rnacentral:rRNA from 1 species
AGCAAACAGGAUUAGAUACCCUGGUAGUCCACGCUGUAAACGAUGGAUACUAGGUGUAGGAGGUAUCGACCCCUUCUGUGCCGGAGUUAACACAAUAAGUAUCCCGCCUGGGGAGUACGGCCGCAAGGCUGAAACUCAAAGGAAUUGACGGGGGCCCGCACAAGCAGUGGAGUAUGUGGUUUAAUUCGAAGCAACGCGAAGAACCUUACCAGGGCUUGACAUCCCUCUGACUGGCAUAGAGAUAUGCCUUCCCUUCGGGGCAGAGGAGACAGGUGGUGCAUGGUUGUCGUCAGCUCGUGUCGUGAGAUGUUGGGUUAAGUCCCGCAACGAGCGCAACCCCUGUUGUUAGUUGCCAUCAUUAAGUUGGGCACUCUAGCGAGACUGCCGGUGACAAAUCGGAGGAAGGUGGGGACGACGUCAAAUCAUCAUGCCCCUUAUGUCCUGGGCUACACACGUACUACAAUGGUGACUACAGAGGGAAGCAAGANCGCGAGGUGGAGCCAAUCCCCAAAGGUCAUCCCAGUUCGNAUNGCAGGCUGCAACCCGCCUGC